AUGGUGGGGUUUCUGGAAAUUCUCUUCACUUUCCUCUUGCCAUCUGUGCUGUGGGCCAUUCACUUGGAGCAGGAACCAAUCUCCAUCACAAAGGAGCCACGUGUGAGCAGCACUGCUGAAUUCACCUGCAAAGUGUCUGGCGGGUCAGAGUCUACCUAUAUCCACUGGUACCGAGCCCCAACUGGAGGGGCACCGCAAAGGCUGCUCUACCUUUCUUACUCCAAGCCUCAAAGCUGGGACACCGGCUUCUCCAUCGAAAAAGUCACCGCCUAUUUUCAAGGCAAUAAAAUCUGCAAACUGUUGGUGCACAAGCUGGAAAAGGCAGACAGCGGCCACUAUUACU